AAUUUGUGGUGUGGGAAUCUCUAAAUCAAUGUUUUAAAACUUCCACAUGUUUCAUGAAAACUUUCCCCUUCUAAUUGUUUAAACAUCGAAAUUUCCAUUCUUAGCU
rfam:Gossypium raimondii Chr08_contig_339, whole genome shotgun sequence.